rnacentral:rRNA from 1 species
AGGGUGUAAACGCUGCAGACUUAGUGUUGGGAACCCUUCGGGGUGCUCAGUGCCGGAGAGAAGUUGUUAAGUCUGCUACUUGGGGAGUACGUCCGCAAGGAUGAAAUUUAAAGGAAUUGGCGGGGGAGGCACCGCAACGGGAGGAGCGUGCGGUUUAAUCGGACUCAACGCCGGGAAUCUCACCGGAUAAGACAGCUGAAUGAUAGUCGGGAUGAAGACCCUGCAUGACCAGCUGAGAGGAGGUGCAUGGCGUAGUCGUGU